rnacentral:rRNA from 1 species
UACGUAGGGGGCAAGCGUUGUCCGGAUUUAUUGGGCGUAAAGAGCGUGUAGGCGGCCAGAUAGGUCCGUUGUGAAAACUGGAGGCUUAACCUCCAGCUGUCGAUGGAAACCAUCUGGCUAGAGUCCGGAAGAGGAGAGUGGAAUUCCUGGUGUAGCGGUGAAAUGCGCAGAUAUCAGGAGGAACACCUAUGGCGAAGGCAGCUCGCUGGGACGGUACUGACGCUGAGGCGCGAAAGCGUGGGGAGCGAACAGG